rnacentral:rRNA from 1 species
UGGGGAAUCUUGGACAAUGGGCGCAAGCCUGAUCCAGCAAUGCCGCGUGGGUGAAGAAGGCCUUCGGGUUGUAAAGCCCUUUUGUCUGGGAGCAAAUCCUUGGUGUGAAUAGCGCCUUGGGAUGAGAGUACCAGAAGAAUAAGGACCGGCUAACUACGUGCCAGCAGCCGCGGUAAUACGUAGGGUCCAAGCGUUAAUCGGAAUUACUGGGCGUAAAGCGUGCGCAGGUGGUUCGUUAAGACAGGCGUGAAAGUCCCGGGCUCAACCUGGGGAUUGCGCUUGUGACUGGCGGGCUAGAGUGCGGCAGAGGGGGUUGGAAUUCCACGUGUAGCAGUGAAAUGCGUAGAGAUGUGGAGGAACACCGAUGGCGAAGGCAGACCCCUGGGCUGACACUGACACU